GACGAGGUUGAGCGGUUAAGGCGAAGGACUGCUCAGCCAUUGGGCUCUGACCGCGUGGGUGCGAAUCCCAUCCUCGUCG